AAAAAACUGAACAAUCGGGCCUUCAUUAAGAAAGAAGAACCACGCUAAGGUGACUGGCUCGUGUUAAAGGACCUUCCUGUCAGAAGAAAUUGAAAAUUGUUGCUCAUGGAUUUCUGUGGGAUAUAUGUUCUCAAUUCAUUAUAAGUAACUACCAAAUGGGACAAUUUUUUUUUGCUCAAUACUAUAAGAGAGGUCAAAAGGGGGAACAGAAAAGUGGUGAAGAUAUGAGAUGAGACAUUGCUGAGAUAAGGGGGUAUGAAUAUCUAGUCUUCUGAAUACACAAAUAGCCUUGACAAAUAAGUAAAUGCAGAUAAGCCACUGAAAGAUAUAUGAAAAAAACUUUUAAGUAUUUUGGAAAGAACAUUAAACUCUCAUAUAAGUAGAUUUGUUUAAAGUUGGUUAAGGGGACUGGACAAAUGGCUUAGUAGUAAACGAGUAAUAAAACUUUCUACUUUAGCAGUAGAGUUGAGUUCAGUUUCCAGGAUUCUUGGCAGCUUACACUUUCCUGUAAGUCCAUUUAUAAGGUAUCCUAAGACCUGCCUUCCAGAUUACAUAGGCACUACACACAUGUAGUACAGAGACAGACAAAGAGGCACAUGGACACACACACAUAGAGAAAUUAAUGAAAAGAAAAGAUUGCUCAAAUUCAUUACUGAGGGAAAUAUGAAAUGCAAAUUAUGGUAUGUUUACAGAUGUUUCUAGUUUUGUUUCUUUAAUUCAUAUAAAUUAGUCUAACUGGGACUUCCUAACACUUUUUAACUUUCUUUGCAAACAUGAUUUUAAUAGCAUAAAAUAUUAGGUUCCAUUAUGGAAGCUUUCCCUCCUCCUUCCUCUUCCCUGUCCUCUUGACUCAUUUUGUACCCUUCCAUGCCCAUAACUUUUAUUUCCCCUUUCAUAUCAAAUAUGUCCAUUGGCCCUUGUUUUCCAUUCUCUUUGUGUGUUUUCUUAUAGACUUUCAAACCAGUAUACACUGUUGUACCACUGUGUGUACAUUCAUAUAGACAUUCAAAAUCUGCUUAGAAAAGAACUUGUGAUUUUUGUGUUUCUAAGAAUAAGCUACCUAACUUAAUAUAGUACUUUCCAGUUGUAUUUAUUUUCUUUCAAUAUUUCUAACUUCAUUUUCUUUACUGCUGAACUAUGUGUGUGUGUGUGUGUGUGUAUGAAUGAUGCAGCUAUAAACAUAAGUAUACCAAUAUAAUUAAAAAUUAUUUCCAAAAAGUAUUAUCUAAUGGGUUAGUAUUUGAUUUCUUUUAUGCUCACAUAUUGCUUCAGAAGCAAAAGGUGAUAGGAAGUAAGACUAUCUUUCUAAUUUAACAAUUUGCUGGACAGUCUCAAAUACUACCGAAGCUUUGUUCUCAUAAUUUCCUUCACAGAUGAGCAUUUAAAGUUAUAUCCAUCCUAAAAUGGUUGUGAUUAUUUUGUUCCUCAAGAGGUACUCACUAGUAAAUUUGGUAAACACAAGCUGAAACAUAUAUAUGGCUGUCUGGAAACAUAGAUAACCAGAAAUUUCAAUCCAUUUUUUAACCUCAAACCAUUGGGAUGAAGUUGUUCAUUAGCAAAGACACUUUGGAAUUAAUCCAAUGAUAAAAGAAUGUUCUUGAGAAGAUCUUAAUUGGAAGAGUGAUAUUCAGGGAUUUGUUAAAUUGCACUUAUGGGAUUGCAGUGGAAAAGGUUUUAAUUUGUUUGGCAAAGGUGAGCUUUCAGAGAGCUUUAUUUAAUGGCUGCCACAUUAACAGGAGUUACAAACUUUAUUUUAUCCUCUUGCAACUUGUUAAUUGGAGGCCUAAUAAAUUGGUGCAAUGGAAAUAAUGUUAUUGUUACGGA
rnacentral:lncRNA from 1 species